rnacentral:rRNA from 1 species
GAUGAACGUUGGCGGUGUGCCUAAUACAUGCAAGUCGAACGGAGUUAAUAGCAAUAUUGACUUAGUGGCGAACGGGUGAGUAACGCGUUGGUGAUCUGCCUUGAAGUGUGGAAUAACGCUCCGAAAGGAGCGCUAAUACCGCAUGUGCUCUCAAUUUUUAGAAACUUGAGAGGAAAGGAUUUAUUCGCUUCGAGAGGAGCCUGCGUCCCAUCAGCUGGUUGGUAGGGUAAAGGCCUACCAAGGCAAUGACGGGUAGGGGACCUGAGAGGGUGCCCCCGACAAGUGGAACUGAAACACGGUCCAUACACCUACGGGCGGCAGCAGUAGGGAAUAUUAGAAAUGGACGAAAGUCUGAUCUAGCAACACCGCGUGUGCGAAGAAGGCCUUGGGUCGUAAAGCACUUUUUGGAAGGAAUAGGAAGGAAUGUACUUCCAGAAUAAGUCUCGGCUAACUACGUGCCAGCAGCCGCGGUAAACGUAGCGUG